rnacentral:rRNA from 1 species
CAACAGGGAUGCCCUAGUAACGGCGUAGUGAAGCGGCAACAGCUCAAAUUUGAAAUCUGGCUCUUUCAGAGUCCGAGUUGUAAUUUGCAGAGGGCGCUUUGGCUUUGGCAGCGGUCCAAGUUCCUUGGAACAGGACGUCACAGAGGGUGAGAAUCCCGUGGUCGCUAGCUAUUGCCGUGUAAAGCCCCUUCGACGAGUCGAGUUGUUUGGGAAUGCAGCUCUAAAUGGGAGGUAAAUUUCUUCUAAAGCUAAAUAUUGGCCAGAGACCGAUAGCGCACAAGUAGAGUGAUCGAAAGAUGAAAAGCACUUUGGAAAGAGAGUCAAACAGCACGUGAAAUUGUUGAAAGGGAAGCGCUUGCAGCCAGACUUGCUUGCAGUUGCUCAUCCGGGCUUUUGCCCGGUGCACUCUUCUGCAGGCAGGCCAGCAUCAGUUUGGGCGGUGGGAUAAAGGUCUCUGUCAUGUACCUCUCUUCGGGGAGGCCUUAUAGGGGAGGCGACAUACCACCAGCCUAGACUGAGGUCCGCGCAUCUGCUAGGAUGCUGGCGUAAUGGCUGUAAGCGGCCCGUCUUGAAACACGGACCAAGGAGUCUAACAUCUAUGCGAGUGUUUGGGUGUCAAGCCCGAGCGCGUAAUGAAAGUGAACGGAGGUGGGAACCCGCAAGGGUGCACCAUCGACCGAUCCUGAAGUUUACGGAAGGAUUUGAGUAAGAGCAUGGCUGUUGGGACCCGAAAGAUGGUGAACUAUGCUUGAAUAGGGUGAAGCCAGAGGAAACUCUGGUGGAGGCUCGCAGCGGUUCUGACGUGCAAAUCGAUCGUCAAAUUUGGGCAUAGGGGCGAAAGACUAAUCGAACUAUCUAGUAGCUGGAUCUGCGAGU